AUGAACCGCUAUGGUAUGCCAUUCAUACCUUUUGUUGGUCUUAACAAUCACCGGAAGACCACUGUUUUUGGUUGUGCCAUAGUUUCGGACGAGACCGAGGAGACAUACGUGUGGCUUCUGCAGACUUUUUUGAGGUCCAUGUGUCAAAAGAUGCCUAAGAGUGUUAUCACAGACGCCGACGCUGCGAUGAUCAAGGCAAUUCGCGAAGUCAUGCCAGACGUGUGGCACCGUAUAUGUACGUGGCACAUAGAGAAAAAUAUGAAGAUUCACCUCAGUCACAAGUCCUUGAAGGAGUUCCGAACUCUUCUG
rnacentral:rRNA from 1 species